rnacentral:rRNA from 1 species
GACGAACGCUGGCGGCGCGCUUAACACAUGCAAGUCGAACGGAAAGGCCUGCUUUCCCUUGUGGAUUGCGGGUACUCGAGUGGCGAACGGGUGAGUAACACGUGAGCGAUCUGCCCCCAACUUGGGUAUAAGCCUGGGAAACUGGGUCUAAUUCCCGAUAGGGCUGCAGGGUGGUGCCUGUGGUGGAAAACGAUUUUCUAGUGGUUGGGGAUGAGCUCGCGGCCUAUCAGCUUGUUGGUGGGGUAAUGGCCUACCAAGGCGGCGACGGGUAGCCGGCCUGAGAGGGUGGACGGCCACAUUGGGACUGAGAUACGGCCCAGACUCCUACGGGAGGCAGCAGUGGGGAAUAUUGCACAAUGGGCGGAAGCCUGAUGCAGCGACGCCGCGUGGGGGAUGACGGCCUUCGGGUUGUAAACUCCUUUCGACCGCGAGGAAGCCACCUGGUUGGAAGGGUGGUGACGGUAGUGGUAGAAGAAGCACCGGCUAACUACGUG